CGGCCUGCCCUGCUUUCCUGACUGCGCUGAAUGCCUUUGGUUUGCACCUAGGUGGAUCCCAAGCAGCUGCUGGAAGAUGGAAUAAGGAAAGAGCUGGUUAAGCGAGUUGCUUUCGCCCUCCACAGAGGCCUGAUAUUCAACCCUCGGGCCAAGCCAAGCGAGUUGAUGCCCAAGCUGAAAGAGCUGGGAGCCACCAUGGAUGGGUUCCACCGGUCCUUUGAGUACAUCCAGGACUACGUCAGCAUCUAUGGGCUGAAGAUUUGGCAGGAGGAAGUCUCGCGGAUUAUAAAUUACAACGUGGAGCAAGAAUGUAAUAACUUCUUAAGAACAAAGGUAUUUAACGGGUUUUUUUCUUCAAUUCUUGACGAUUAUCUAUUGUUUCUCAUAUUUGACAUUACACUCCCAAUCUCAGGUGUUUUGUCUAAUAAUUUUAUGGAAAACCACUAGUCGCACAGCGCACCUUCAGGAGACUUCAGGGCCCUGGCCUCACAGAGCUUUCUGUGCCAUGGACAAAGCCGGUGGAACUAAGGGGUUGUGGCAGUUCCUGCUCUGCUUGUUGGAACCCAGGGGUUGAGAGGGAGAGACUCGGGACCAGAAUGCUGUCUGGCUUCUUCAGGACACACCAGAGUCCUCCCAGAGGGGCACUGUUACCUGCAUCCACUUCCUAGCUUAGCCGACCUUGGGGUGAAGGCGCCUCUUUUUGAAUGUGUGCGCCCCCAAUGUCUGCCCCGUGUCUUCACAUGUUUAUUGGCCAUGUGUGCAUGUCUUCUUUUAAAAGUGGGUUGUUUUUCUUUUUUUUUUUU